rnacentral:rRNA from 1 species
UACGAAGGGGGCUAGCGUUGCUCGGAAUCACUGGGCGUAAAGGGUGCGUAGGCGGGUCUUUAAGUCAGGGGUGAAAUCCUGGAGCUCAACUCCAGAACUGCCUUUGAUACUGAGGAUCUUGAGUGAUGGAGAGGUGAGUGAACUGCGAGUGUAGAGGUGAAAUUCGUAGAUAUUCGCAAGAACACCAGUGGCGAAGGCGGCUCACUGGCCCGAUACUGACGCUGAGGUGCGAAAGCGUGGGGAGCAAACAGG